UUGAUUAACUGAAAACAUCCGCUUUACAAGAUUCAUUGGUUAGGAAAUCGGAGUACCUGCUGCGGAGUACCUGAUUCAUUUGUUCCAGAAAUGAAUUACUGCUGUAUUUAUUAAAGUUGUUUAUUUAUUUUGAAUCACUAAAAAGAACUGCUGGCUCAAACGAGUGAAUCAUUCGGGGGCUACAUGGCGGCAUUGUAGAUUCACUCACUAGUGGUGUUGCUGUGGCAUCAGUGAAAGAAUGUACGUGGAAGAGCGAAAUGUUGUAAAAUUUUAUACAGGACAUAAUUGAUUGUGGCAAAAAUCCAUGACGCCUGUGGACACAGGCUGGGUGCAGCUCUUGCCAUGGGGUUGCGGAGACCAGCGGCAGUCCUCCAUUCAUCUAGUAUUACUGCCUGUGGACCGCGAGUUCCAGAACCUCCCUCCACUUCUAGUCAAGUCAGCAGGCAUCUCCCCUUCACACACUCAGCGCUUCCUUCAUAAUUAGAGCUCAAUCAUUAUGACUUUA